rnacentral:tRNA from 1 species
AAAGUACUAGUUAAACAAUAACAUUAAAUUGUCAAAUUAAAAUUACUUAAAGUGUACUUUA